rfam:Schistocephalus solidus strain NST_G2 genome assembly, scaffold: SSLN_scaffold0001566
GGCCUCGUAGUUCGGUUGGCUAGAGCGUUGACUGAACUGAAACCUUUUCCUUGCCCGCGUUGGUUCGAAUCCCACCGAGGCCA